GAAAAAAAAAUCGGAUUAGUUGUUCGGAUCCUGGUGAGCUGUCCGUUGUCUACCCCGCCUCUUGCCCAUUUACUGCUGGAGAAAGACACCAGCCCCCUAGUGAACCUUUAAAGAUCAAGCAGAUAUAUAUGAAAAGAAAUUAUAGAAAGGGCAUGCUCUGAUGGUACAGGGGUAGUGAGCACAAACAAUAUAUGGAGGCCUUAGUCCUCGACCUGGCUGACCUGGGUUUGAUUCCUGAGGUCCUUUACCGCAUGUCUUCUGUCUGGUAAUAUCACACCAUGACACAAAUCCUUAUGUCUAAAAUUUGAGAGGUAACAAGGAAAGUUCAGUCCUGCCAGACAUGACCUGGAGGAGCAGUUGCACGAGAACAACAACCUGCAGUUGCCUGUUAGAGUCCACUAGGAGACAUAAGCUGAUUGCAUCAACCUGUCAGACUCAAGGCAGGCACAUUUUCACGAGAAGCACCAGAAGCUUCAGCUCAGUUGUUCAGUUCUACUAAAGAGAUUAUUAGUAGUAUUAGUAUUAGAUUAUUCAGCAUUAGGAUGAUUACAAUCUGUGUUGUAGUUCUGAUGGCCUCGUCUUCCUCCAUCUCUAUUGAAAUCCAGCAGCCUCCCUUUGUAAUCGGCCGUGAAAGAGAUCCCUCUGUAACUUUAAAGUGUGAGCAAGACCACGACGAGCAUUACUACAUGUACUGGUACAAACAAGAGAGCACGGGGAAAUUAGAGUUAGUCGCACAGUCUCUGGGUGAAAACACUUGGGACAUCGAAGCGCCUUUCAACAAGUCCAAGUACACCGUGUUGCGACCCACGAUUCUGGACACCGCUCUGCAGAUUCACCGGCCCCAGGCUAGAGACUCAGCCGUGUAUUACUGCGCUUCGAGAAGAGCACAAUGAUUCAGAAAGCCUCUGCAGCUUAACAACAACCUGGAGAAAUCACAGACUAAAGAG